AACGAACGCUGGCAGCAGGCCUAACACAUGCAAGUCGAGCGAGGUAGCAAUACCUAGCGGCGGACGGGUGAGUAACGCGUGGGAACGUGCCCUUUGCUACGGAAUAGCCCUGGGAAACUGGGAGUAAUACCGUAUGUGCCCUUCGGGGGAAAGAUUUAUCGGCAAAGGAUCGGCCCGCGUUGGAUUAGGUAGUUGGUGGGGUAAUGGCCUACCAAGCCGACGAUCCAUAGCUGGUUUGAGAGGAUGAUCAGCCACACUGGGACUGAGACACGGCCCAGACUCCUACGGGAGGCAGCAGUGGGGAAUCUUAGACAAUGGGCGCAAGCCUGAUCUAGCCAUGCCGCGUGAGCGAUGAAGGCCUUAGGGUUGUAAAGCUCUUUCGUGGGGGAAGAUAAUGACUGUACCCCAAGAAGAAGCCCCGGCUAACUCCGUGCCAGCAGCCGCAGUAAUAC
rnacentral:rRNA from 1 species